GAUGAACGCUAGCGGCAGGCUUAAUACAUGCAAGUCGAACGGUAAGUUUGGUAGCAAUAUCAAACCAAGAGUGACGUACGGGUGCGUAACACGUAUGCAACCUACCUUGCACAGGAGUAUAGCUCGGGGAAACUCGAAUUAACCCUCCAUGAGAUCACAGUGUGGCAUCACACAGUGAUUAAAACUCAGGUGGUACAAGAUGGGCAUGCGUCUGAUUAGUUAGUUGGCGGGGUAAUGGCCCACCAAGACGAUGAUCAGUAGGGGACCUGAGAGGGUGAU
rnacentral:rRNA from 1 species